ACAGCAGCCGCCACGGGAAUACGGAGGGAGCUAGCGUUGUUCGGAAUUACUGGGCGUAAAGCGCACGUAGGCGGUUAUUCAAGUCAGAGGUGAAAGCCCGGGGCUCAACCCCGGAACUGCCUUUGAAACUAGAUGACUGGAAUCUUGGAGAGGUCAGUGGAAUUCCGAGUGUAGAGGUGAAGUUCGUAGAUAUUCGGAAGAACACCAGUGGCGAAGGCGACUGACUGGACAAGUACUGACGCUGAGGUGCGAAAGCGUGGGGAGCAAACAGGAUUAGAUACCCCGGUAGUCCCUGUCUCUUAUAC
rnacentral:rRNA from 1 species